rnacentral:rRNA from 1 species
AACGAACGCUGGCGGCAGGCUUAACACAUGCAAGUCGAGCGCCCCGCAAGGGGAGCGGCAGACGGGUGAGUAACGCGUGGGAAUCUACCCAUCUCUACGGAAUAACGCAUGGAAACGUGUGCUAAUACCGUAUACGUCCUUCGGGAGAAAGAUUUAUCGGAGAUGGAUGAGCCCGCGUUGGAUUAGCUAGUUGGUGGGGUAAAGGCCUACCAAGGCGACGAUCCAUAGCUGGUCUGAGAGGAUGAUCAGCCACACUGGGACUGAGACACGGCCCAGACUCCUACGGGAGGCAGCAGUGGGGAAGAUUGGACAAUGGGCGCAUGCCUGAUCCAGCCAUGCCGCGUGAGUGAUGAAGGCCCUAGGGUUGUAAAGCUCUUUCACCGGUGAAGAUAAUGACGGUAACCGGAGAAGAAGCCCCGGCUAACUUCGUGCCAGCCGCCGCCGAAACAC